UAAUCGAAGAGGUUUGAACCUGGCAAAAGUCGUAACAAUGUUGCAUGCCGAUGAGCGCAAGGCAACUGUGUGCGUUUGUCGGCCAUACACACUCAAAGUUCCCUUGACUGGGGCAAGUUCCAAGAGAAGGUGCAAGGCCUGUAUGAGUGGGUUGGCAGUUGUUCGAUACUGGUUAUUGCUGUAGAGUCAAGUUGCCUGAAAGCGCAGCUCAAAGUUGGUGGUAAACCUCAUCUAAAGAUAAAUACGACCUCGAGACCGAUAUCGAACAAGUACCGCGAGGAAAAGUUGUAAAAAACUUCGAAGUGAGAGUUCAAGGGGACGUGAAGCCACUAAGGGGCAAGUGGAUGGAGUUAACAGCAUAAUGAUGACGACAUUCAGCCAAUGGUACUUAUACAUCUGCUAUAAGGCUGUGUUUCCAGUAACACUGAUAUGCAUGCCCAUCGUAUGUACCAUUGCUGUUUUUGCGAUCAUUGGCGCUUACAGUGAUGUGUUACAGUAGAUCAGCACAGGAACCCUAUAAUUUAUUAAUACAUAUUCGCUAUAUUCGUUGCAAGACCGGCUAGAAGCCGU
rnacentral:ncRNA from 1 species